UACGUAGGGUGCAAGCGUUGUCCGGAAUUAUUGGGCGUAAAGAGCUCGUAGGCGGUUCGUCGCGUCGGCUGUGAAAACCUGAGGCUCAACCUCAGGCCUGCAGUCGAUACGGGCGGACUUGAGUACUGCAGGGGAGACUGGAAUUCCUGGUGUAGCGGUGAAAUGCGCAGAUAUCAGGAAGAACACCGGUGGCGAAGGCGGCCUGCUGGGCAGUAGCUGACACUGAGGCGCGACAGCGUGGGGAGCAAACAGG
rnacentral:rRNA from 1 species